UACGUAGGGACCGAGCGUUGUCCGGAUUCAUUGGGCGUAAAGAGCUCGUAGGCGGCCACUCAAGUCGAAUGUGAAACCUCGAGGCUUAACCUCAAGCCUGCAUUCGAUACUGGGCGGCUAGAGUCUGGUAGGGGGAUCUGGAAUUCCUGGUGUAGCGGUGGAAUGCGCAGAUAUCAGGAGGAACACCGGUGGCGAAGGCGGGAUCCUGGGUCAGUACUGACGCUGAGGAGCGAAAGCGUGGGGAGCAAACAGGG
rnacentral:rRNA from 1 species